UCCGAGUUGUAAUUUGCAGAGGGCGCUUUGGUGUUGGCAGCGGUCCAAGUUCCUUGGAACAGGACGUCACAGAGGGUGAGAAUCCCGUACGUGGUCGCUAGCCUCCGCCGUGUAAAGCCCCUUCGACGAGUCGAGUUGUUUGGGAAUGCAGCUCUAAAUGGGAGGUAAAUUUCUUCUAAAGCUAAAUACUGGCCAGAGACCGAUAGCGCACAAGUAGAGUGAUCGAAAGAUGAAAAGCACUUUGGAAAGAGAGUCAAAUAGCACGUGAAAUUGUUGAAAGGGAAGCGCUUGCAGCCAGACUUGCCUGUAGUUGCUCAUCCGGGCUUUUGCCCGGUGCACUCUUCUACAGGCAGGCCAGCAUCAGUUUGGGCGGUUGGAUAAAGGUCUCUGACACGUUCCUCUCUUCGGGGAGGCCAUAUAGGGGAGACGACAUACAACCAGCCUGGACUGAGGUCCGCGCAUUUGCUAGGAUGCUGGCGUAAUGGCUGUAAGCGGCCCGUCUUGAAACACGGACCAAGGAGUCUAACAUCUAUGCGAGUGUUUGGGUGUCAAGCCCGAACGCGUAAUGAAAGUGAACGGAGGUGGGAACCCUUGGGUGCACCAUCGACCGAUCCUGAUGUCUUCGGAAGGAUUUGAGUAAGAGCAUGGCUGUUGGGACCCGAAAGAUGGUGAACUAUGCUUGAAUAGGGU
rnacentral:rRNA from 1 species